GAUGAACGCUGGCGGCAUGCCUAAUACAUGCAAGUCGAACGAGAGGAAGGAAAGCUUGCUUUUCUGAAUCUAGUGGCGAACGGGUGAGUAACACGUAGGUAACCUGCCCAUGUGCCCGGGAUAACUUCUGGAAACGGAUGCUAAAACCGGAUAGGUAGCAGACAAGCAUUUGACUGCUAUUAAAGUGGCCUUGGCCAUGAACAUGGAUGGACCUGCGGCGCAUUAGCUAGUUGGUGAGGUAACGGCCCACCAAGGCGACGAUGCAUAGCCGGCCUGAGAGGGCGGACGGCCACAUUGGGACUGAGACACGGCCCAAACUCCUACGGGAGGCAGCAGUAGGGAAUUUUCGUCAAUGGGGGGAACCCUGAACGAGCAAUGCCGCGUGAGUGAGGAAGGUCUUCGGAUCGUAAAGCUCUGUUGUAAGAGAAAAACGGCACUCAUAGGGAAUGAUGAGUGAGUGAUGGUAUCUUACCAGAAAGUCACGGCUAACUACGUGCCAGCCGCCGCGGUAAAAC
rnacentral:rRNA from 1 species